GCCAAUCUCAGUUCGGAUUGUAGGCUGCAACUCGCCUACAUGAAGUUGGAAUCGCUAGUAAUCGCGAAUCAGAAUGUCGCGGUGAAUACGUUCCCGGGUCUUGUACACACCGCCCGUCACACCACAAGAGUUUACAACACCCGAAGUCAGUGGCCUAACCGCAAGGAGGGAGCUGCCUAAGGUGGGGUAGAUGAUUGGGGUGAAGUCGUAACAAGGUACC
rnacentral:rRNA from 1 species